rnacentral:misc_RNA from 1 species
UGUGGGAGCGGGCUUGCUCGCGAUGGGAUCGCUGCGGUGUGCCAGACAGACCGCGUGGUUGCCAUCGCGGGCAAGCCCGCUCCCACA